rnacentral:rRNA from 1 species
UACGUAGGGUGCAGGCGUUAAUCGGAAUUACUGGGCGUAAAGCGUGCGCAGGCGGUUCUAUAAGACAGAUGUGAAAUCCCCGGGCUCAACCUGGGAAUGGCAGUGGAUACUGGCAAGCUAGAGUGCGGUAGAGGGUAGUGGAAUUCCCGGUGUAGCAGUGAAAUGCGUAGAGAUCGGGAGGAACACCAGUGGCGAAGGCGGCUACCUGGACCAGCACUGACACUGAAGCACGAAAGCGUGGGGAGCAAACAGG